rnacentral:lncRNA from 1 species
GAAUCUGUCUAUGAUUCAGACCAAGAUCCCGACUUUGACUCUGACCCCGACUUAGGCUCAGAUCCUGAUCUAAAUUCCUACUAAACUUGUAUCCUCUGCAUCUUCUGCUACAAAAAUUAUGACUUCCCAACUAACGACCCUAACACAUGGACAAGAUUUCACAUACUGUGGUGAUCCGAGACACACUCGUGAGACUUGUUUUAAAUUGCAUGGCUACCCCGAAUGGUGGGCCACUCUCAAAGAUCG